GACGAACGCUGGCGGCGUGCUUAACACAUGCAAGUCGAACGGUAAGGCCCUUCGGGGUACACGAGUGGCGAACGGGUGAGUAACACGUGGGUGAUCUGCCCUGCACUUCGGGAUAAGCCUGGGAAACUGGGUCUAAUACCGGAUAGGACCACUGCCUGCAUGGGUGGUGGUGGAAAGCUUUUGCGGUGUGGGAGGGGCCCGCGGCCUAUCAGCUUGUUGGUGGGGUGAUGGCCUACCAAGGCGACGACGGGUAGCCGGCCUGGUUGGGUGACCGGGCACACUGGGAGUGAGAAACGGCCCAGAAUCGUACGGGAGGCAGCAGUGGGUAAUAUUGGACACUGGGCGCAAGCCUGAUGCAGCGACGCCGCGUGAGGGAUGACGGCCUUCGGGUUGUAAACCUCUUUCAGCACCGACGAAGCGCAAGUGACGGUAGGUGCAGAAGAAGGACCGGCCAACUACGUGCCAGCCGCCGCCGUAA
rnacentral:rRNA from 1 species